rnacentral:rRNA from 1 species
GGCUUAGAAGCAGCAAUUCCUUUAAAGAGUGCGUAACAGCUCACUGGUCGAGUGUCCAUGCGCAGAUAAUGUAACGGGGCUAAGCAGUAUACCGAAGCUACGGGUCUUAUGCAUUUUUGAGCAUAAGGCGGUAGGGGAGCAUUCCAUUAACUGAUGAAGGAAUACCCGCGAGGGAUUCUGGAGGAGAUGGAAGAGAGAAUGCAGGUAUAAGUAACGAAAAGGGAGGUGAGAUCCCUCCCCGCCGAAAAUCUAAGGUUUCCUGGGUAAAGGUAAUCUCCCCAGGGUAAGUCGGCCCCUAAGGCGAGGACGAAGGUCGUAGUCGAUGGGAAAUCGGUUCAUAUUCCGAUACCUUUUAUAAUUUCGAUGGCAGGACGCAUGAGGUGAAACCCGGCCGGCUAACGGAUGCCGGUCAAAGUAAGCGAGCCGUUAUAAAGGAUGAUAGGCAAAUCCGUCGUCCAAGGUAAGCUGCGACAGCGAGUGAAACUACGGUGGAUCGAAGCGGGCGUAAUCAAGGUGCCGGGAAAUACUGUCUAAGGUUAAGGUUAUAAAAGACCGUACCGUAAACC